AUUGAACGCUGGCGGCAUGCCUUACACAUGCAAGUCGAACGGUAACAGGUCUUCGGAUGCUGACGAGUGGCGAACGGGUGAGUAAUACAUCGGAACGUGCCUAGUAGUGGGGGAUAACUACUCGAAAGAGUGGCUAAUACCGCAUGAGAUCUACGGAUGAAAGCAGGGGAUCGCAAGACCUUGUGCUACUAGAGCGGCCGAUGGCAGAUGAGGUAGUUGGUGGGAUAAAAGCUUACCAAGCCGACGAUCUGUAGCUGGUCUGAGAGGACGAUCAGCCACACUGGGACUGAGACACGGCCCAGACUCCUACGGGAGGCAGCAGUGGGGAAUUUUGGACAAUGGGCGCAAGCCUGAUCCAGCAAUGCCGCGUGCAGGAUGAAGGCCUUCGGGUUGUAAACUGCUUUUGUACGGAACGAAAAGCCCCGGGUUAAUACCUUGGGGUCAUGACGGUACCGUAAGAAUAAGCACCGGCUAACUACGUGCCAGCCGCCGCAGUAA
rnacentral:rRNA from 1 species